UCUGAGGCCAUCCAGGAAACCACUGGCUACUAUGAAUCAGUAUAUAACCACAUGUCUGGCCAUUUCUCCUUCCAAAUACAUUGUGCAACCAAGUGCUCUGCCCAAAAUUCUGUCCUAAGGACAGUGGUAAAGGGAAUUCUUCCUAAUGGAAGAGGGAAGAGAUCGCUGCCCUGGCUGAGAUGACUGCAUACUCCAAGUGAACUGCCCACUCCAAGAGGUAGAAGCAAAGAGGAGACACAGGAGACUUCUAAGAUCUCUCUUAUUGCCCUUGAAGGCUGCAGAUCCUGCUCCUUUGCCCCUGGGACCCUGGAGAGCCCCUGUCUUGAGGACCCCCAAUUGCAGACGUCGUAUUACCACAAAGGGAGCCAGCUGAAGGAAAAAGCCAAUGUCCUGCGGAGAGAAAAGCAGAGAAAUGGAGGCUGCUUGGCUCCUUGAGGACACCUUGAGCCACUCAUCGUACCACACCUGGAACCCACUACUUCUAGACUAACUAUUAUAUGAGAUAAUACAUUUCCUUACAUGUUUGAA
rnacentral:lncRNA from 10 species